CGGGGGACAUUUUCUAUAGCGGUCUGCGAACAGUAUGGGAAGCAUGCUUCUCACCGUUGGGCAAGCGAACAGCGGCAUGGUCGUGUUUAAUUUGGCUGUGAAGUUUUAUUCACGCAUAUGUUGUAGUUAUUAUUAUUGCAGCUGACUGCAAGUGCAUAUAUGAUGGGAAGGUGUAAAGUUAGAGCACCGAAAGCAAUGACUGCGCGUUUGAGCAGCGGAAUUGACUAGGCCGCAUGAGCAAAGAAAACGAAGGAUGGUGAUUACUCGGGUGGAUGUUUUCUGCACCUCACCACGUGGACAGGGUGGUGUCAUACAGUCACAUGGAGGACGGCCAGCAGCGAGGGGUCUUCGGUGUGAAUGGAUGUUCAGGAUAAUGGCACAGUAAGUAAUUUGAGUGUAAUGCAAAACGAUUGUAACUGAUAAACAUGUCUUUUUUUUUUUUCAUCUUUUUUAUUUUAUUUGUAUUUAUUUGUACUAUUUGUAUUCACGUUCCAUUUCUAUUGUAUAUAUUAAUCGACAUCUGUGGGUGGACAGCAGAAGAAUUUCAUUGCACAGAGAAAUGCCUUUUCUCUUGUGACACAUGACAAUAAACACUUUGAAUCUUGAAUCUUUAAAAAGAAUAAAGCAUUUUUCUACAAACCAACAGUGUUGUUUUUCUUAUUUUUAACUUCUUUCUGGGCACUCCUCUGAACCUGGCUGGCCUCUUCCGUGGCCACUCAAAGGUCGAGAGCAGUGCAAGAUCAAGUCAUGUCUUGUCAUAACUGGAGUUUCUUGGCUUUUAUUUCACCAAGUCUCUCUUUUAAAGCAAGACACAGACUCGAGAUGAAGUUCAUGAAUA